rnacentral:pre_miRNA from 1 species
ACAACAACAUUCGGAACGUCGGUCUACCGAGCAAUAUCACCUGCUCGGUGGAAGAUCUUCUCUCCAUCGUUAUA